rnacentral:rRNA from 1 species
UACGUAGGGGGCAAGCGUUGUCCGGAUUUAUUGGGCGUAAAGAGCGUGUAGGCGGCUAGACAGGUCCGCUGUGAAAACUCGAGGCUCAACCUCGAGACGUCGGUGGAAACCGUUUGGCUAGAGUCCGGAAGAGGAGAGUGGAAUUCCCGGUGUAGCGGUGAAAUGCGCAGAUAUCAGGAAGAACACCCGUGGCUAAGGCGGCUCUCUAGUACGGUACUGACGCUGAGACGCGAAAGCGUGGGGAGCGAACAGG